CGCCCGGGGCGGCCCCGGGCGGGGCGGGGGCACGGGGGUUGGAGGGCAAGUCUGGUGCCAGCAGCCGCGGUAAUUCCAGCUCCAAUAGCGUAUAUUAAAGUUGUUGCAGUUAAAAAGCUCGUAGUUGAACUUCGGGAUCAGAUGGUCGGUCGGGCUUCGGGAGGCAACGGCAUUAUUGGGUCCUACCUUUUGGAGAACCGUGAUGUC
rnacentral:rRNA from 1 species